CAAAAGGCCCUUUUCAGAGCCCCACCAUUGUCAAUAAAAAAGCUGU
rfam:Fukomys damarensis contig114729, whole genome shotgun sequence.